CAGAGGGGGCAAGCGUUAUUCGGAAUUAUUGGGCGUAAAGGGCGCGUAGGCGGCCUGGCAAGUGGAAGGUGAAAUCCCUCGGCUUAACCGAGGAACUGCCUUCCAGACUGCUUGGCUUGAGACCAGGAGAGGUGAGUGGAAUUCCCAGUGUAGCGGUGAAAUGCGUAGAUAUUGGGAGGAACACCAGUGGCGAGGGCGGCUCACUGGACUGGUACUGACGCUGAGGCGCGAAAGCGUGGGGAGCAAACGGGAUUAGAUACCCCGGUAGUCCACGCCGUAAACGAUGAGUGCUUGGUGUAGCGGGUAUCGACCCCUGCUGUGCCGAAGUCAACACAUUAAGCACUCCGCCUGGGGAGUACGGUCGCAAGGCUG
rnacentral:rRNA from 1 species